CGCCAGACUCCUACGGGAGGCAGCAGUGGGGAAUAUUGCACAAUGGGGGGAACCCUGAUGCAGCGACGCCGCGUGAGUGAAGAAGUAUUUCGGUAUGUAAAGCUCUAUCAGCAGGGAAGAAAAUGACGGUACCUGACUAAGAAGCCCCGGCUAACUACGUGCCAGCAGCCGCGGUAAUACGUAGGGGGCAAGCGUUAUCCGGAUUUACUGGGUGUAAAGGGGGCGCAGACGGCGAUGCAAGCCAGGAGUGAAAGCCCGGGGCCCAACCCCGGGACUGCUCUUGGAACUGCGUGGCUGGAGUGCAGGAGGGGCAGGCGGAAUUCCUGGUGUAGCGGUGAAAUGCGUAGAUAUCAGGAGGAACACCGGUGGCGAAGGCGGCCUGCUGGACUGCAACUGACGUUGAGGCCCGAAAGCGUGGGGAGCAAACAGGAUUAGAUACCCUGGUACU
rnacentral:rRNA from 1 species